GUGGAGACUGGUAAUCUUGAAUGUCGUAGAGGUAAGCGGAAUAUGUCAUGUAGCGGUGAAAUGCUUAGAGAUGACAUAGAACACCAAUUGCGAAGGCAGCUUGCUAUGCGAUUAUUGACACUGAGGCACGAAAGCGUGGGUAGCAAACAG
rnacentral:rRNA from 1 species